rnacentral:rRNA from 1 species
UAAUACGUAGGGUGCGGGCGUUAAUCGGAAUUACUGGGCGUAAAGCGUGCGCAGGCGGCUUUUCAAGUCAGGUGUGAAAUCCCCGGGCUUAACCUGGGAAUGGCGCUUGAAACUGGAAGGCUUGAGUGUGGCAGAGGGGGGUGGAAUUCCACGUGUAGCAGUGAAAUGCGUAGAGAUGUGGAGGAACACCGAUGGCGAAGGCAGCCCCCUGGGCUGACACUGACGCUCAGGCACGAAAGCGUGGGGAGCAAACAGGAUUAGAUACCCUGGUAGUCCACGCCCUAAACGAUGUCAACUAGUUGUCGGGGAAGCAAUUUCUCGGUAACGCAGCUAACGCGUGAAGUUGACCGCCUGGGGAGUACGGUCGCAAGAUUA